UUUGAUGAGAUGCAUGUCGUCUCAAAGCCGAGCGGGUUACAUUAUGAUACACACAUACACGCACAUACACGCAAAUAUAUCCCUGCAUUUGAUUUUUCAAUCCAACAGUCAACCGGGGUCGAGGAAAGCCGCCCCAUCGAAAAGUGUUCCAGUGGGCCACCGGCUGAUCUUCCAGGCACAGCUGGUCACCAAUGAGCAUGCAAAUCAAGUCCAAACCUUCAACUUUCAACAAAGUCCCAAAGGGCGUACGCAGCCCCGGUGGGUGGCUUGUGACCGUUGAGCGGCAGUUCUGGCCGCGCCUCUGCAUCGGCCGUCAGGUACCACAUGUGGUCGGGGAGGUCCAGCUCCAGCAGCUUCUGUUUGACAAGUAGACUCUUCUCGAUGUUCCUCCGCUUGAACUUGAACUCGAUGAUGGUCUUGGUGUAGCGGUUGAGCGCCGUCACUGCCGAGCCCAUGCAGGUGCCGAACGACCCCCACGCUAGGCUGAAGCGAGGACAAGGUAGAGAUUAGCAUUACUGAAACUAGCUCUUACAGCGAACCUUUUGGGUUACCUAUAGAUGACGGCAAAGCACUUACAUUAGAUGUUAUCAAUUAUAUUAAAUGUAGCAGAUGCGAACGGUAGCUUGGCAUAAAGAUGAUCGAAAGCUAAACAAAAGGACUUGAGUUUUCUCACACAUAAGACCAACUGUAGUCCCAGGUCUUGGGCCUCCAGUCUUCCGGACCCAUGGCCACAGCCAGUUGGAAAAUGGUGGUGAACAUCAUGUGGGCCACCAUCCCACAAAGGCCUGAAACCAGACAAGAAGUGACGACAACAUAAGAUACUUUCGGGGUUAUGAGUAUCCAUGGCAAUACUGAUUGUUGACAUUGAGUGGAAAUCAGUCACUAAUCCUAACCCUGCCCCCCGCCCAAAGAAAACUGGGAUCGACUCCCUAAUGAGGAUAAACGGUAUAGAAAAUAGAUGGCUUGUUGGCUGUACCUCAAAUAUGGCGAUUACAUACGAUUUAUUUA